rnacentral:rRNA from 1 species
UACGGGGGGGGGCAAGCGUUGUUUGGAAUUACUGGGCGUAAAGGGCUCGUAGGCGGCCAACUAAGUCAGACGUGAAAUCCCUCGGCUUAACCGGGGAACUGCGUCUGAUACUGGAUGGCUUGAGUUUGGGAGAGGGAUGCGGAAUUCCAGGUGUAGCGGUGAAAUGCGUAGAUAUCGGGAGGAACACCAGUGGCGAAGGCGGUUACCUGGAGCUUUGCUGACGCUGAUGCGCGAAAGCGUGGGGGAGCGAUCCGG